UACCAGCUCUCCGAGUGGUAGGGAUGAUUAUUGGGCUUAAAGCGUCCGUAGCCGGCUUAGCAAGUCUCCUGUUAAAUUCAGCGACCUAAUCGUUGAGCCGCGGGAGACACUACUAGGCUAGGAGGCGGGAGAGGCCGACGGUAUUCUCGGGGUAGGGGUGAAAUCCUAUAAUCCCGGGAGGACCACCAGUGGCGAAGGCUGUCGACUAGAACGCGCUCGACGGUGAGGGACGAAAGCUGGGGGAGCGAACCGGAUUAGAUACCCGGGUAGUCCCAGCUGUAAACGAUGCGGGCUAGGUGUUGGGGUGGCUACGUGCCACUUCAGUGCCGCAGGGAAGCCAUUAAGCCCGCCGCCUGGGGAGUACGGCCGCAAGGCUGAAACUUAAAGGAAUUGGCGGGGGAGCACCACAAGGCGUGAAGCUUGCGGUUC
rnacentral:rRNA from 1 species